CUGGCGGCGUGCCUAAUACAUGCAAGUCGAACGGUCUUUCUAUGGAAGCUUGCUUCACUGAGAAGAUAGUGGCGAACGGGUGAGUAACACGUGGGUAACCUGCCCAUAAGAGGGGGGAUAACAUCCGGAAACGGGUGCUAAUACCGCAUAGUUUUCUUGAUCGCAUGAUUGAGAAAGGAAAGACGGCCUUUGUGCUGUCGCUUAUGGAUGGACCCGCGGCGUAUUAGUUAGUUGGUGAGGUAACGGCUCACCAAGACGAUGAUACGUAGCCGACCUGAGAGGGUGAUCGGCCACAUUGGGACUGAGACACGGCCCAAACUCCUACGGGAGGCAGCAGUAGGGAAUCUUCCGCAAUGGACGAAAGUCUGACGGAGCAACGCCGCGUGAGUGAAAGAAGGUUUUCGGAUCGUAAAACUCUGUUGUCAGAGAAGAACAAGUUGGAGAGUAACUGCUCCAGCCUUGACGGUAUCUGACCAGAAAGCCACGGCUAACUACGUGCCAGCCGCCGC
rnacentral:rRNA from 1 species